UACAGAGGUCCCAAGCGUUACUGAGAAUCACUGGGUUUAAAGGGUGCGUAGGUGGUCCGUUAAGUUCGUUGUGAAAUCCCCGGGCUCAACCCGGGAAUUGCUUCGAAUACUGGCGGACUUGAGUCCUGUAGGGGUCACUGGAACAGACGGUGGAGCGGUGAAAUGCGUAGAUAUCGUCUGGAACGCCUGUGGUGAAGACGGGUGACUGGGCAGGUUCUGACACUGAGGCACGAAAGCGUGGGGAGCGAACGGG
rnacentral:rRNA from 1 species